rnacentral:lncRNA from 1 species
AUUCAUAACGUAAAGUAAUAAAAGAUAAAUCGAUCAUCAAAGCUUAAAAUACAUUCCUCAAAUCAACUAAAAUCCGAAGAGAAACACAUCAUUGAUGCAAACGAUCAAAAAUCUAAAGUCCAAACUGAACGACAACGACGACGAGGCGAAAUCCUAGUCUUCCUCCACAAUGAAGAAGACGAGUUGCUGGCGUUGUGCAGUACUCAGGAACAACCGGCAAGGUCCUCGGCUAUCAUUUCCACCAAGGCAACUUGUCUAGAGUGAGAUCGAAAUCGAGGUUCCUUUGAUAUCACUAUAAAAUGCCACCAAAAUCUCAAUCUCGUACAUUCAUCCACAAAUCUACAAGCAAAAACAAAAAUAUGAAGAAGAAAGUAUAGGAGAACGAACUUGAAGUGAUCAAGAUGGUCCGAUUUGGCGAGCUGAGACUUCUUUAUACAACUAUGUCUAAAAUUAAAUAUAUAACUAAAUUUGUAUAACAAUUUCAACACAAUUAUCCUUCCAUGAAAGGACUCCUAAAUGACAUAUAGACUAUAGUUCAACAAAUGGCUCUAAAAGAAACGCUCUUGAGUAAAUAAAGGUCAAGAAAGGUAGCAUCCUGAUUUUAGUCAGUGUUAUCC